rnacentral:rRNA from 1 species
ACGGAUAGGGGACAGGUGCUGGAGAAGGGCUCAGAAUGAGCCAAUGUGUCAGGCCAAGUGCAGGCACGAGAGCAAGUCCAGGACGGUCUUUCUUUGGGAGGCCAAAUAACCGAAAGUUGCAACUGCAAGAGGGGACAAGACAACCAACAUGAGAAGUGCUCCUCGAACCGAGUGACCGACCAACGAGCGAAGCCACCGUG